GGCCUUGUAGUCUAGAGGUACGAUACUUGCUUUGGGUGUUCUUAAUUGCAAGUGGCCUGGGUUCGAUUCCCAGCAAGGCCC